GCCGUCAACGUUUUCACCGCUUCGCGAACUGCCGUUCGACUUACGCCGUACUGCUCGCCCAGUUCUAUUUCGCCGGGAAGAAUCGUACCGGGGGCGUAGUCACCCUUUAAUAUCCGCUGCGCCAGCUUUUCAGCCAGAACAUAGGAUAGAUUUUUCUGUGCGGCUAAUUGUUGUGCGCUUAAAGGCAUGAAUGUUCUUCCUUUCUCUUUCGUUUGGUUAUUAGUAUGCCACCUGGAAGUGUGAUUGCAGUUGCAAUAACGGCAAUUUGCUUAUUUUAUGGCACGUUAAGCACGCUAUUGAUGAAAAAAGAGACACUCAGAAAAUUAUUUUAAAUU
rnacentral:rRNA from 1 species